rnacentral:lncRNA from 1 species
CAGCUAGAAAAAGCAGGCAGAAGAAGGUGGAAGAGCUAACUUGCUGAGUCUUCCGGCAUUCGUCUUUCUUCCCUGCUGGAUGCUUCCUACCCGCGAACAUCAGACUCCAAGUUCUUCGGCCUUUGGACUCUCUUUUUUUGUUUUUUAAGAGACGGAGUCUAGCUCUGUCGCCCAAGCUGGAGUGCAGUGGCGUAAUCUCGGCUCACUGCACCUUCCGCCUCCUGGGUUAAAGCGAUUCUCCUGCCUCAGCCUCCCUAGUAGCUGGGACUACAGGCGCGCGCCGUCACGCCCGGCUAAUUUUUUGUAUUUUAGUAGAGACGGGGUUUCACCGUGUUGUCCAGCCUGGUCUCAAACUCCUGAGCUCAGGCAAUCCACCUGCCUCGGCCUCCUAAAAUGCUAGGAUAACAGGCGUGCGCCUCCGCGCCCGGCCUGCCUUUGGACUCUUGAACUUAGACCAGUUGUUUGCUGGGGCUCUUGGGCCUUUGGCCACAGACUGAAGGCUGCACUGUUGGCUUCCCUACUUUUGAGGUUUUGGGACUUGGACUGAACCAGUACUGGCUUCGUUGCUCCUCAACUUGCAGAUGGACUCUCAUGGGACUUCAUCUUGUGAUCGUGAAGGGGGCAUGAUCGAAUCUUCUGCUUUCCUUUUGAGCAUUUUCUCUGUGAGCCAAACUGACUGUUAUCCCUGCCACCAGGUAUAUUAAUGCUGUAAGGAAUUGUGCAGGAGGUCAAAAACCUGGAGGAUGCCUUACUUGGCCUGAUGUCAAGCCCUGAAAACAGCUGGCUGUCUGGUUGGAUCAGUCCCCCGUGGCAAACUCAGGACUCUGCGUUCCCAGUACUGGCUCACAGAAUCUGGUUGAAUCACCAAAAUGUGAAGACAAGCCUUCAGUUCCCUUCUUGACCACCAGCAUGGAACUAAACAAUUAAACCUGUCAGAAAAAAAAAAGCUGCUGUAUUUUAAGGUAACAGAGACAUGGACUUUUUAAGGUAACAGAGACAUGGACUUGAGAAGACAACUUGGCUCAAUUCCUAGCUCUGCAACUUACUUACUAGGUUUGUGUCUUUGGACUGCAUCCUAACAAACAACUGUGUCAAGACAUUUGAACAGCAUAUUCUACACAAAUAAAAAGGAAAUGAUAAAGAUAAAAGAAAUUAAUAGAAUGGAAAGUGAUGGAGAUAAACAAGUGAAAAGAUGGUCCUUUGAAAAGACUAAAACAUGGCCAAUGCACUGGCAAGAAUGAUUGGGACAAUAAACAAAAUAUAUAUGCCAGGGCAGCUCCCGGCGAGAUCGACGCAAAAGGAGGGAGACACUACCUCUCUUUUCCAAAGCUAUCCCUUAUAUAAACAUCCUUGAAAAAGCACUCCGGAACAAAGGCAGUGAGUGCUUCCAUUCUAGCAAAGACUUGGAACCAA